AGAGUUUGAUCCUGGCUCAGAACGAACGCUGGCGGCAUGCCUAACACAUGCAAGUCGAACGAAGGCUUCGGCCUUAGUGGCGCACGGGUGAGUAACACGUGGGAACCUGCCUCUUUGUUCGGAAUAACACCGGGAAACUGGUGCUAAUACCGGAUACGCCCUACGGGGGAAAGAUUUAUCGCAGAGAGAGGGGCCCGCGUCCGAUUAGGUAGUUGGUGGGGUAAUGGCCUACCAAGCCGACGAUCGGUAGCUGGUCUGAGAGGAUGAUCAGCCACACUGGGACUGAGACACGGCCCAGACUCCUACGGGAGGCAGCAGUGGGGAAUAUUGGACAAUGGGCGCAAGCCUGAUCCAGCAAUGCCGCGUGAAUGAUGAAGGCCUUAGGGUUGUAAAGUUCUUUCGUCGGGGACGAUGAUGACGGUACCCGAAGAAGAAGCCCCGGCUAACUUCGUGCCAGCAGCCGCGGUAAUACGAAGGGGGCUAGCGUUGUUCGGAAUUACUGGGCGUAAAGGGCGCGUAGGCGGCCAUUCAAGUUAGAUGUGAAAGCCCUGGGCUCAACCUAGGAAUUGCAUUUGAUACUGUUUGGCUUGAGUUCGGGAGAGGUGAGUGGAAUUCCCAGUGUAGAGGUGAAAUUCGUAGAUAUUGGGAAGAACACCAGUGGCGAAGGCGGCUCACUGGACCGACACUGACGCUGAGGCGCGAAAGCGUGGGGAGCAAACAGGAUUAGAUACCCUAGUAGUCC
rnacentral:rRNA from 1 species